rnacentral:lncRNA from 1 species
CACAAACAUACAAUGCAUGAAAACACAGUCAGUUUCACCUGGGGACGGUCUGAUUAGUUUUAUGGCAAAAAAAAAAAAAAUCCUGAUUUCCUGGUACUCUCUGGUCUUUACAGGCGACGACAAGAUUACUCCUCCAAGUCCAUCUGUGCCACGACCAACCAACAGUCCAGAAACACCGAUUAAAUCGACACCAAGAAUGGUGACUGCAUCGACACAAACCAAAGACGACAACACCAAGACAAUAACAAUGAGUGAACCACCACACACAGCUGCAUCUGAACCACAGCCUCUGAGUUUGAUCAUUGGGAUACCUGUCCUCUGCCUCGUCCUCCUCCUCCUCUUCAUCCUCUGCCUUAUUUCUAGACGCAGGUUGAAAAGACGAGUGGUUACAGAAUCCCACCCUGUUUAUGAGGAAAUCCAGGAUCAGGUGGAGUUUCAGGCCAUCAACGGUGAGAAAUGAAAGCUGGUUUCCACUCACACCUGUUCCUCUUCUUCAUUAUUAUUAUUAAUCUGGUGUAAAAGUGAACUCUGCACAGUUU